rnacentral:rRNA from 1 species
GAUGAACGCUGGCGGCGUGCCUAAUACAUGCAAGUCGAGCGAACAGACGAGGAGCUUGCUCCUCUGACGUUAGCGGUGGACGGGUGAGUAACACGUGGAUAACCUACCUAUAAGACUGGGAUAACUUCGGGAAACCGGAGCUAAUACCGGAUAACAUGUUGAACCGCAUGGUUCAACAGUGAAAGACGGUCUUGUUGUCACUUAUAGAUGGAUCCGCGCCGCAUUAGCUAGUUGGUAAGGUAACGGCUUACCAAGGCAACGAUGCGUAGCCGACCUGAGAGGGUGAUCGGCCACACUGGAACUGAGACACGGUCCAGACUCCUACGGGAGGCAGCAGUAGGGAAUCUUCCGCAAUGGGCGAAAGCCUGACGGAGCAACGCCGCGUGAGUGAAGAAGGUCUUCGGAUCGUAAAACUCUGUUAUUAGGGAAGAACAAAUGUGUAAGUAACUAUGCACGUCUUGACGGUACCUAAUCAGAAAGCCACGGCUAACUACGUG